UUUUCUUCCCCGGUUUUGUAUUUCAAUUUGCGAUAUUCUUGAACUGAGAUUCUUGAAUAAUUUUUUAAAUACGGUGUUGUGUGAGCUUGCAUUAUAAUAAGUAUGUAAGUCUCAAAAAACUUGUCUACAAACACUCUGUAUAGUUCGGAACCCGACUGCUGUUCCUCCAAGGAAGAUGGAUAAGAAUUCAACCAGAUUACCUCGACAUCUGCAGGCCCGAAAUUCCGUGAUACAGAUAUUUCGCUAUUAUGAACAGCACAGUGAAACAAAAUUGUAGGUCGGUCGGCCGGUGCCACCUCCAACAAAACACGGCAGUUUGUGGAUUCGAUUAUGUUGUUCCUUCCAAGGGAAAGUAUGGAAGGAGAGGUAAUAGACUUGGUAGAUUCAUCGAUCAUUUCCUCCUGACAGUUUCUGCUAAGGAACUGCAAUAAUAGAUAUCAUAUUGGGAUUUGGGAGUGAGAUUUCUUUUUUCUGCUCUGAUCUCAUAAAAGUAAGUGAACUACAAGAUAUCCAGGACGUCUUGCAGGAAAUCGAUUAUGUGUAUACCGCUGCAUAGAGGAGAACUUAACGAUCGACCGGGAGUGUUAUAAUUAUUCACGCUACAGCGGUCUUCUGGUAAUAUUCACCUAGAUCAACUCAAAUUAGAAAACGUAGGCCACAUCUUUGAUGACAUGGUUCGUCAACUGUUUCAAUUAUUAAAUGUUUAGAUCGUUAAAAUACAUGAAAUUAAUGAAUGUAAUAAAAUUAAAUAAACGAUGAGAAAAUCUCUAGACAAAUAUGUAAAUAGCUUAUCAUAAUUAACAUUAUAGUCGUCAUUCUUAAUUAUAUUUUAUGUUGAAAGCCUAUUUAGAUUACGGAAUUUAUUAUAAUGAUUAUUGUGUCAAAUAUAAGAAAGAAAAUUGAAUGUAUUUGGAUUGACAUCUAGUUACUCUUUAUCAUAUUCAUUAUCAUAAAUGGGGUAAUUAACGGUGUGGCCUAUUGUAAUACUAAAAUUAUAGUUCGCCAGAGAGCAUCUCCCGUUUGAUAAGAACUUCGUGGUACACAACAGAACAAAAUGGAGAUUAGAAAUAAAAACAGAAAAAAAAAACAUAUUUUAGACUUUAAUGUCGUAUAAGCAAAGAGACCACCUGAACAUUUUUUUCCCUCGGGCCACAAUGGCAUUCAUCAGAUGCGUCAUGUUCCGUACAGUACCAAAUUGAGUCAACAUCGCUUACUGGUUCAGCACUUAAAUACACAUUGUAUCUAUUCUGCGACUCGUAUGAAGUGAGGCGUUUCGAAAGAUGUUAAAAUUUUUGGUAUCUCCC